UCUGAGGGCAGAGACGGAGAAAGCAGAGAGCAAGCCUGCCCGGGGAACAGGUGGAGAGGGGGAGCAGAGCUAGGCAGGACCCAAGGAGAGGUAAAGUUAGGAAAAAAAAAAAACAGAACUAAAGGGAUAAAGGACCAGUGAGCAGACCUGUCACAAAUAAGGAGAAAUGAUGAUUAAAAAGACAUGCGUGAAGAGAAAAGGAGGAACCAGGAAAAGGGAACAAGUAAGGAGACAAAAUAAGGAGUAAGCGCACAAGCUAAACGCUUAGAAAAUCACCAGGCAGUUUGGCUGACCGGGAGAAGCGCCAUAGCCAGACUCAAAAGGGAACCAUCAGAAAGACAGAGGCAGAUGAUUUAAGUAGCCAGCUCCUGAGGUAAAAAUGAAAAAUAAAUAAAUAAAUAAAAUAGAAGAUGGAAAAGGUGAGAAGCAGAAGAGGGAAAACCCAGAGGAGACACUGGCCCAGAAACCUUUUUAACUUUCUGUAAGAAUCUUCAAGGCCCCAAACUAGGCCAAGAUUCUGACUGACAUUUCUGAGCUCACCAGCUGCUGUUUCCUUGAGAGAAUUCUGACAGGAAGGCAUAGAAAUGCAAGCCAACACUGCUAGCUCUGGAAAAAAAAAAAAAAAAAAAAUCCAUGCUCCAAACACCUCCACGGGGCUGGAGCCUGCCAGGGAAGAAGGCGCACAGAGGAGGGACCCGCCGGCAACUUUUCCCCAGGCUUGAACCAGGGAUGCUCGGGACACACCAAGAAUCCUCGCCCUAGAGGCUGCAGUCACCUCCCCCAGGAGCUGCCCCCUGCUCUGGCUGGUCAAACGGAACCAAGUCCGUCUUCCUGAGAGGUUUGGUCCCCUUCAACCAGCUACAGCAGGGCUGGCAAAGCCCAGUCCUUGGAGAAACAGAAGAAAUUCGCCUUCUGUGGCUGAAAGUACCUACUACCGUUUCUCUUAAGAAAAUGACUGAUUUUGUUAUCACACUCUCAUGCUCCCAGGAAGGGAGAAAAGGGGAGCCCUGGCUUCAAAAGUGAGCCAGAGUUCCACCUUCCACACACAGAUUUCUGUGUCUGCACCCACAACUAGACCCACUCACGUGCUCUUGACACACAGUAAGGAUUUUAGGAUGGGCUGUGCUUCAGCCCUGGACCACCCAGGGGAGAGCAUGACCCUUAGAAGAUGGGGCUCCGGCUCAAAGGGGGUUAGGGUUUUAGUUAAGGAACUUGGCCUUCGAAAAUUGGCCCAUUUCAUUGGAUUUGCAGUUCCCGGCUUGCUUGUUUCCCAAUGUUAUUUUUUUUUUUUUUUUUUUUUUUUUUUUUUUUGAGGGUUAUUUGUUUUCCGGAUUUUUUUUUUUUUUCUGUCAAACCAAAACAUAAUUCUUUUACACAGCCCAUUAUAUAAGUCUGGCAUGCUGUCUACUAACCAGUCCACCCAAAGAGAGCUACUCACUAAGAAAUAUAUGUGUGACUCAGUUUCCCAUCUAUAAAAUGGGAAUAAUAACAACCAUUGUACCUACCACAUAUGGUUUUAUGAGGAAUGGAAUACAUGUAAGGGAAUUGGGAAGCCUGCAAUAAUUUUUACCUGCUAUUAAAGAAGGGAUCCUGACCUGCUUUCCAAUUUCUCUUCCAAAAUUUCUAUCUUUGGGUCUUCUUUGGCAGUCCAGUGGUCAAGACUUCAUACUUUCAAUGCAGGGGACAGAGAUUUGAUCCCUGGUCAGGGAACUAAGAUCCCACAUGCUGCAUGGCGUGGCCAAAAAAAGUCUAUCUUUAACAGUGUUCCUUGGGGUAUGCCCAGUACUUUAGCUAGGCUUAUAUCUGCUGAUGGAAUUACAGAAGCCUGUGUUCACAUGCUGUCCUGACACCAGUGUGUUCUCACGAUGCCCGGGGCCACCAAGUCUCCGCAUGAGGAAGCUUAUUUGGUGAAUUAUAUGUAUGUGCCUGGGGGCUCAGGGCAACCAGGUUUGAAUCCUGCCCCUCUUGUUUAUGAGUCCCGGUGUAGCCUCCCUGAGCCUCAGUUAACCUUGUAUAAACCUUAGUUUCCUCUUCUGUAAAAUGGGGACAAUAAUACUUAAAGUCGAUUUGAGGAUUUUAAAAGGUAAUGCUUAGCAAGAGCGACAUACAAGCCCCCAACCAAUGGCAGCUGGUGGGGUAUGGCUGUUAUACACACAACAGCUCAAAGACAAUGUUGUGUUCACAGGCACUCAUAACUGGAAGGCAAAGACCAGAUCUUUUUAAUUAAAACAGAAGAACUCAAAAAAAAAAAUCAGUGAAACUUCAUUACAGAGUAAUUUUAUAUUCUAACUAUUCUACUAUCAUGUAGCAUGCCUUCAUUCUGGUAUGUGUUACUAGUAAGUAAUAAGUUUUACUUAAAAAAUCAAUGGUUCAUACAUGAGAUUGACCAUCUUACCUUAAAGAAAUAUCCUGCCUGGAAAACUCAUUUGAGAACACUGCCAAGAUGCCAGUCUGCAACCACAUCUGUAAUCAGUUUGUCCUUCGAAGAGUAUAGGAAGGCCAUAGUGUAUGGAAUUUAGACACAGGCGCCAGAAUGAGACUGCCUGGCAGAUUCCAGCAUCCUUGCCCCUUACCAACUGUGCCACUUUGGGCUAAUUGUUUGACCUCUCUAGGCCUAGAUUCCCUCAUAUGUAAAAUGGAAAUAUUAAUGAUGUGUCCACCUCACAAGGUUUUCAUGAAAACAAAAUGAAAAUGUAAAGGUAUAAAACUAGUGCUGGGUGCAGAACAAACUUUUAAGUCUUUGACAAUGUAUCUGAAAUGUUCCUGAAACUAAGCUGAUGUUCAAUAAAAAUUUAUUUAAUAAGUGA